CCAGGAUUCCCGAAUUCUACUAAACACAAUUCUAAUGGAAAGUGUGGAAAAACCCAAGUUACUUCCAUAAUCCUGACAAAUAUGACACUAGUUAAACAUCCAGUUGCUACAUCCUCUUAUGCCAGACAAAGAAUGUUCAGGUCAUUUAAGGAUGGAUUUGCAUUCUUAUGAUUUAUUUCUGACUUUUAAAUUUAUUUUAUGUAGGACAGAGGUAAUAGCUAAUUGAAAACCAUUUUCUCUACCUUCUUUUGGACUGGACCCAUAAUACCAUCUUUCCUCUUGUCAAGCAUUUCUCCAAAGAAAAAACCUUCAGAAGGAAAUCCCGCCUGACCCGACUUUUGGCUCUAGCCUUCGAAGCACACCCCCUUCCUGGCUACCCUCUAUAAAUCCACCGUAUUUUCAGUUGUUUUUUGUUUAGAAGUGGAUUCAUCUUGUUAAGUUUACACAGAUUUUGCUCUUGCUAAAAGCUCUUUUUUCAAGAAUAUGGGGUGGAUACCCCAAACCUU